AAAAACAUUAGUAGAAUUCCAUU
rnacentral:snRNA from 1 species